UUAACUAACUCUAGAAGCUGUAAAAGGCUGAAAUCAGACUCCAGCUGCGACAGAGGUAACAGCGGAGGCCUGAACUUUUUUGUCUGCCAUGUGCUCCAGUGUGGGAAGAGCUACUCAUAGAGAAUGUUCCUACCUCUUUUCAGAAACCACUGUCUAAGCUGCUUGUUGCAAUCACAGAUUUUACAGCAAAGGACAUAUACAAUAUGGGACUGCAUCUCAGUCUACAUGAGGCCAUGAUCAAUAAUCAGUGUCAACUUGACUCAGCUGCGCAACAACAAAGCGAUCUGAAUUGCAUGAGUUUGUCAGAGAUUCAGUUGUCUGAAACACAUGUGAGUCAAUUAUUUAAUUUGGAUAUGAAUGGGUUGGCAGGCAGAGAGAAUGGGGUAAAGCAGUGAUAUUGCCUAGAAUUACGCAGAAAAUAGAGCAAUGGAUUGUUACAGGUGUGAUCAGAUUCUGCAAGUAUCCAGUUGUACAAUGAGCAUCAUACUCCUUCAGCUGGUAGCUAUGUCUCUAAGAUCACUGCCGUACCUUUCAUAUUAAAUGCAAACAUACAGACGCUUGAGAAAACGCAUAGCAGUUUACACUGUAACAAACUGGCAUGUAUACCACUGGGUAUUUGGAUUGGUUUCAUGUUGUGACCAGCAUCAUACAUCACAGCUUUUCAUCUUAUGCUAAUAGCAAAUGAUUGGCUGGUAUAUUCUCAAUUUUCAUGGUUUUUGCUGCAAAUUGAUCGGAUUUGCCCACAGGAAAAAUUUUUGUUUUGUUUUGCUUGUUUCUUGGGAUCUUCAUGUUGAUAAAACAUCGAUUUUUCUCACCUUUGCCAUGUUGUUUUACUUUCUCUUCUCAAUUUGGGCUUUAUAACGUGAACUAUUUGUAUUUUGCCAGCAGGCAGGUCAAACACACAGUGUCUUUAACUGCUUCAGGCUAAACAGAAAUAUUCAUCAUUAGCAUGACUUGAAGAAUCAACUUACUGGUAGUAUGCUGAGCUGCUGAUAGCAAUUGUGAACUUCAAACCACACUGGUCAAUGAGACAUAAAAAUAGCACCAGUUGCAGGGCACAUUUUCAUGAUUUAGUGAGGCUUUCUCCUGUCAGCAAUUUGAUUGAACUUUACGAAGAAGUGAUUUAGAAUUGCAGGUAGUCUUGCAAUCUUGCUGAUAUAAAAGCUAUGUUCAACCUCUCACUCCCUAGUUAAGAAUAAAUGAAAAACAGACUGACUUUAAUGCUGAGCAGGUAAAGAAAAAAAGGAGGAGCAAAAGAGGCAGGAAAUCACACACACGCUCACACACACAAUCAGGCCAAUGCUUUGUUAGCAGCCUUUCCACAUGAGAAAUGGGGUGCUUUUACUUCUCUACCUUUGUCAAACACAGCUUAUUACUGUUUGCUUUGCCUGUGUCUCAUGGAAACUUUUCCAGGUACAUGUGCCAAGUGGAUCACAUUCUUGCAAUGACAAGUACCACUGUGACUACUGUGGACCUCAGCAGAAAAGAUAAUGUGCAAAAUGCGAGCAAUCACAGGACUCAGUCUCUCUACUGCCCUGGUUUCCUUGUCUUUCUCUUGGAAAUCUUUGAGUGACUCUUUUCUUCCUUGUCUGAGGAGGGGUUGGUAGGAAGCUGCAGUCCAAAUCCGUUAGGUCCAUUUAUGAAAACACAUUGAAAGUAGCGGACAGGAGCUAGGAAAACAAAGAGAUGGUUAACAUUUAUAAUGCCCAAAUUGACACCAUGAGUCUCUGUUGUAUUCUUUCAGAAAACAACUAUAUAAUUUAAUUCCCAUUAAUUGAGUUACGACAACACACACCUUUAGUGUCUCACAAGGCAGAUUCCACAUUUCAACAAGAUUUUAGCUGAAGAGUUCAGCAUGGCAUAUUUGUAGCAGAGGUUUAGAAGCUAUAGACAAUUUACAUUUAAAUCCAUUAUUCCACACAGUUACAGGCCUUUUUUCUUUCUUUCUUUCUUUCUUUUUUCACCCCACAGAAUAUUUACAUUCUACGAUAGCUGAGUGGAAACUCGUGAAAGCCGUAUGUAUAUUUUCUGAUCUUAUAUUUCAC
ensembl:lncRNA